CCUACGGGUGGCAGCAGUGGGGCAUAUUGGGCAAUGUGCGCAAGCCUGACCCAGCAACGCCGCGUGAGCGAUGAAGGUCUUCGGAUUGUAAAGCUCUGUCGCAGGGGACGAAGUAUGACGGUACCCUGUAAGAAAGCCCCGGCAAACUACGUGCCAGCAGCCGCGGUAAUCAGUAGGGAGCUAGCGUUGUCCGGAAUUACUGGGCUUAAAGGGCGUGUAGACGGCUUGUCAAGUUAAGUGUGAAAGCCUGCGGCUUAACCGUAGAAUUGCACUUAAAACUGACUCGCUAGAGUGCAGGAGAGGUGAGUGGAAUUGCUAGUGUAGCGGUGGAAUGCGUAGAUAUUAGGAGGAACACCAGAGGCGAAGGCAGCUCACUGGACUGUAACUGACGUUGAGGCUCGAAAGCGUGGGGAGCAAACAGGAUUAGAUACCCCUGUAGUC
rnacentral:rRNA from 1 species